GCCGAACAGGGCCAUGGAAAAUUGCACCGAUUUACAGGUAUACCCAACCUCAGCGGUGGCUGCACUUGAAAGUCAUGCAAUCUGCGAUCACGAAUCCUCGCAAGCACAGCCAACACUAGAAAAUAUCCGUUACGAAAAUCAAUCAAAAUCCAAACAUAAUGAAAUACGACGUUGCUUCGACCUCACCACCACCAACACAUCGCGAGAUCAAAAUAUAACCAAAACGAUGAAAACGGAUAUCAUCAAACGUAAUAAAAUCAUUAAAAAAUACAUAGCUCGACGACACAGUAUAAAGCACAGCGUUCAAGAAGGGUGCACUUUACGAAACACCACAAUUAGCAAAUGCAUAAUAAAGGAUAAAAUCAUCCGGCUGAGGACAAUUAAAACGGAUAUAAUAACCCACAAUACCGUACGUUCUUCUACUUUGGUACAUAAAAUGAUAAAAACCAAAACACUAAAGAAGGACGAUUUCGUACAAUGUUUGGAGAAUAUGCCUUUGGCCGAAGCUCGAAAAAUAAUUCAGCCACCGAUUAGGCUGAAAAAAUAUAAUUCGUGGGGAAUAUGUGGUAGGUAGGUAAAGCGAUGACUGAAACAGGCACAUACCACAGAAUAUGUAAUCCGAUCUACAUAAAUAUAUAAAAGGUGAAUUCCAA